rnacentral:rRNA from 1 species
UACGUAGGGUCCGAGCGUUGUCCGGAAUUAUUGGGCGUAAAGGGCUCGUAGGCGGUUCGUCACGUCGGGAGUGAAAACUCGGGGUUUAACCCCGAGCCUGCUUCCGAUACGGGCAGACUAGAGGUAGGCAGGGGAGAGCGGAACUCCUGGUGUAGCGGUGGAAUGCGCAGAUAUCAGGAAGAACACCGGUGGCGAAGGCGGGUCUCUGGGCCGAUACUGACGCUGAGGAGCGAAAGCGUGGGGAGCGAACAGG